rnacentral:lncRNA from 1 species
CUGCCUUUCAAUUCAGUUUUGUGAGAAUAAGAUAUUUGAUGUUGCUGCACAACAUUGCUGGGGAGUCAUCACACCUAAGUUGACAGUGCUGAAGCAGAAACAUGGAAAGAGACCGGCUCUUUGAUGACACUUGAGCUGCGAAACUGACCUGGAAUGACCUCCUUCCAGAUGUAUUGUCAUGAGAGAGAAUAAGACAAUCUCAUUGUUUCAGCCACUUGCAGUGGGUGUUUUAUAACUUGCAGCUGAAAGCAUAGUUACCUCUCUGAGCCUCAGUUUUUUCCUUUAGAAAAUGGCGAUAACACUACUUACCCAGCAGGUCGUAGGAGGAAAUGGUAUAAUACAAUGCCUAACAUAAAGGAACUCAGUAAAUCGUAG